AAAUAAAAAAAAAGGAAAAAACAUAAGAGGUCCUCUUAUAUAGUAGACUCAAUUUACUUAUAAGAGACUCUAGGUGUCACCAAUUGGUUGGGCAAACCGAUUUACAGAGAAAAAAAAAAAUUGAUUGUCGAUUGAUUUUCUUUCUUCCUCUUCCUUUCCCUCUCCCGAAAGUCUCUCUCUCUCAAACUCGCGAAUCUCUCAAUCGGAGGAAAUGUAAUCAAAGAGAUGGAAUCAGUGGAGAAUCGAAUCAGAGGAGAUUUGGAAUUCGGAUUAUUCUUCUUCUUCCUCCUCCUCCUUCGUAUUUUCAUUUUUUCCCCUCUCUUUCUCACCGGAGAAUAUGAGGUGGGAAAGGGUCCGACAAGAACAAUAACAAUAACAAGUGGGUCUCGGUCUAUUCCGGUCCUGGUAAGAAGUGGGGGCACACCCAUUAAAGGAGGUAGAUUUUUCUACGUUUUCGGUGGCUAUGGCAGAGAUAAUUGCCAAGUCAAUCAGGUCCACGUUUUCGACGCUGGGCAGGAGAAACUGAGCCUCGUGUUGUUUUCCGCAAUAUCGUGCAAAGGCCUCUACACAAAUCUACAGGUGAAACUGUUACUAUUGUUGGCGACCUGGAUCUUGUAUUGAUGAAGUACUUUGAAUGCACUCGCUCAGGACCAGGUUCGCCUUUUGACAGCAAUGUUGUUAUGUGAUUGGUUCUUAUCAGACUUGUUGUUGUGCUGCUAGAGAAAACAUUCGUUUAGGAUUUUGUUGAAGCAAUAAGAUUCUUUCUACGCGGCUUUAGGCUACCUGGAGAAGCUCAAAACAUCGAUCGAAUCAUGGAGAAGUUUGCAGAACACUACUGGAAAUGCAACCCUCGUUCUUUUACAAGUGCAGACACUGCUUAUGUUCUUGCAUACUCUGUGAUUAUGCUAAACACAAAUGCACACAACAACAUGGUUAAGGAUAAGUAGAUACAUAGAAAUGGUAUGGUUAUGCAGAUGACGAAAGCUGAUUUCAUCUGCAACAAUCGAGGAAUAGAUGAUGGGAAAGACUUACCUGAGGAGUAUUUAGGCUCUCUAUAUGAUCGAGUUGUGAAAGAAGAAAUCAAGAUGAACUCUGAUACUUUAGCUCCACAAAACAAACAAGUGAAUGGCUUGAACAAACUGUUGGGCUUAGACGGCAUCCUCAAUCUGGUUUCUUGGAUGCAACCAGAUGAGAAACCUCAUGGUGCCAAUGGACGUCUUAUAAGGGAUAUUCAAGAACAGUUCCCAGCUAACUUCUCUUUGCUUACAAGGCUUCAGAUAUGCGGUUCACGUCACUGCAGUUUAUGGGAAAAGUGUUCCCAAACUAGUUACUCCAGAGCAGAUCAAAAGUUUCAUUGCAAAUUUGAAUCUACUUGAUCAAACAUUCAAAAAAAAAAAAAAAAAAAAA